UUAUCUCAUACACACCACCAGAUAAUCCAUCAAUCAAUCUAGUGGCGCUACUCUUCCUUCCUAUGGAGGCCGAAGCUUCACUCUGCAACUUCUCCGGCACCAAUGUCGCCUUGCCGACCCUCCACCGCAACCUCCUCUCCCCCUCCACCUCCUUCCGUAGUCGCCAUCUCCGCCAACAACGUAAUCUUACGUCAUCUUUCUUCGGAACCCAACGCCUCAAUUCCACCAAAUGAACUCAAAUUCUCACUUCCAGAAGCGAAAUCUCUCCGUUUUUGCCAUGGCUGCUUCUAAAGAUGUGAAGCGUGAGGUUUCGUUGAAGGACUACAGGAACAUCGGCAUCAUGGCGCACACAGACGCCGGAAAAACUACGACAACGGAGCGUGUGCUGUACUACACGGG